rfam:Populus trichocarpa scaffold_11_contig_604, whole genome shotgun sequence.
UUUUUUAGGGUUAAACAUCAAUAUUUUGAAAAGUUUUUUUAUUUUUAGAGACUGAUGUUAUUUUUUGACAUGUCUCUUAUUUUUAGGGACC